GUGGGGAAUAUUGGGCAAUGGGGGAAACCCUGACCCAGCAACGCCGCGUGAAGGAAGACGGUUUUCGGAUUGUAAACUUCUUUUAUCGGGGACGAAAAAAAUGACGGUACCCGAAGAAAAAGCCACGGCUAACUACGUGCCAGCAGCCGCGGUAAUACGUAGGUGGCAAGCGUUGUCCGGAUUUACUGGGUGUAAAGGGCGUGUAGGCGGGACUGCAAGUCAGAUGUGAAAUACCAAGGCUUAACCUUGGGGCUGCAUUUGAAACUGUAGUUCUUGAGUGAUGGAGAGGCAGGCGGAAUUCCUAGUGUAGCGGUGAAAUGCGUAGAUAUUAGGAGGAACACCGGUGGCGAAGGCGGCUUACUGGACAGAGACUGACGCUGAGGCGCGAAAGCGUGGGGAGCGAACAGGAUUAGAUACCCUUGUAGUCC
rnacentral:rRNA from 1 species